UACGUAGGGGGCAAGCGUUGUCCGGAAUUAUUGGGCGUAAAGAGCGCGUAGGCGGUCCGGUAAGUCGGCUGUGAAAGUCAAGGGCUCAACCCUUGAAAGCCGGCCGAUACUGUCGGACUAGAGUCCGGAAGAGGCGAGUGGAAUUCCCGGUGUAGCGGUGAAAUGCGUAGAUAUUGGGAGGAACACCAGUGGCGAAGGCGGCUCACUGGACCGGUACUGACGCUGAUGCGCGAAAGCGUGGGGAGCAAACAGG
rnacentral:rRNA from 1 species